GUCCUCCCAGACACUCCGUAGUCGGCGUUGGUUUCCUUGGAGACCAAAACACCAGUGAAAGUGCCCGGUUUUGUUGAGAAGUUUGAGGGGCCUGAGUUCCCGAACCACGCAGAGACAAGGAAGUUGGAGAAGCCGAACAGGCAUCCCAGAGGAUCAGGGCACCACAGACUCGUGACUAUUCUAGUUUCGCCAAUGGCUCACGUCUUUCCGAAAUCCAGCCACUUGAGUACUCACUCCACGGCCCGCAAGUCCCAGUUUCUGCAGUGGUCCAAGCAUGAAACCAAGCCAUUGACUCUGCCUCCACUUCAACAAACCAGCAGCCAUAACAAAAGCAAAAUGAAGACUUCUAGUAGAGGCAAUACAGCAGUGCCCUCCAAGCUCACCCCAUUGGUGACAAACCAGCCGAAGAAUCCAGAAGGACGAAUAAGGCAGAAGCCACACCCAGGAAAGAUAUCUGCCAAACCCCAGCUAAUGAGGCUGAUGCUCCGGAACCAGCGGGGCUUGCUCCAGGAUGUUUGCAGCCAUGAGUGCUUCCUCACCAAGCAGAAUGAAGAGGCGGUCAGAACCAUCCUGGACACGGAGGCUAGCACGGCGCUGCAAGUGUGGGCCAUGCUGCAGCAGGAGGACAUCGCGGUGAACAUGAUGGACAUCUUGGAGUACUCAAACAAAAAGCUACAGAGGUCAGAGUCUGAGCUUCAGGAGUGGAGAGAGAAGGAGGAACGCAAGAAGAACAGCCUGGAGCAGCAGGCAGAGCAGCUGAACACCAGGAUCAAGAACACCCAGGAGUUGGUGAGCUUCCUGAGCACGUACAUGGACCUUGAGUACCCUGCCAGGUCUGUGCAGAUUGCCAGCCUUGUGCGCCAGCUGCAGCAGGCGAAGGACAGCCAGCAGGAGGAGCUGGAUAACCGCAGUGAGAUGCGCAGAAUGAUGCUGAAGACUCUGUCCAACGCAAUGCAGGAGAAAAAGAGAAAAGUUUGGAGCUCCCUGGUGGUGAAAACCCAAUAUCCCUAUGACAAGACCCUUCAGCAGGUGAUGCGGGACAGCCAGUGCCAGCAGAAAUGUGUGGUCAAGUGCAGAGAACUUAUUGACCAAUUGAAGGAGAAAAUGCCCACAUUAAGAGCUGAUGUGGAGGCGCUUGAGGCCCGGGUCCGGGAUCUGCGGGAGGUCAUUUUUGAGGAUGUUCUGCUUCGGAGACCCAACUCAUUAAAUCUUCACAAGAACAUCUGGCUGAUGUAAGAGUUGCUGUCAUUUUACAGAUGAAGAAAUGAAAGCGUGAAAAGCAACCCAAGUCCCAAACGUGGUGAAGCAGGAGUUCACGGAUAAAUCACCUCCAGACAGGCUUGUCAAGGGAACCAUCUUUCUGCAGCGGGCCUCCCACACUCCCUCUUGUGGACAGACCUGGAGCUUCCUGCUCAUCUGCUUUGCCCACCUACCUUUGAUAACUGUUGACUCUCAUGCGUGGGACACCAGAGGAACUAACUCCGAAAGCCAGCGGUGGCGCCUGUGUACCACGUAUCGCCGCCGGCAGAUGGCGGUGGACUCACCGGCGGGCUCCUCGGGUAAAGCACCCGGAGUUUGUAAAUUGGAAGCAGGGCGUCUGAUUGCAGAGUCCGCACCUGGAGAGGACCGUUCCGGCCAUUCGUGUGGCGAGACACAGGCCUUUGUUGUGCGCCGGUUGCUGUUGCCUGGUCCCUGCCUGGGACUAGCUCGGGUUCAGGUCUCCCCCUAUUCAGUCGCCGCCCGCGUCUCUCUUCCCAACAGCAGAGCUCAUUUCCUGCUUGGCCUGGGCCCGGGCUGCUCCCGGCCUCGGAACGCGGUUCACAAGGUCUCCGCGCGGCGGCCUCAGCGAGCAGUCUCCAGGCGCCCGCUUUCUCAGAGGUCUGCUAUGGCUGCUGUCUCUGACUUGGUUCUCCUCUCCCCAUCUCUUUGCACGCAUUUGUUUUCUUCACAGCUGCAGUUAUUAUCUGAUAUUACGCAUUUCUUUUAUGCAUAUUAG